GGAGGUUCAUUGCCAUCAGAGGACAUGUAAAGGAAUUUCGAUCCGAUCGAGGGACAAAUUUUAUCGGAUCAACAGAACACCUAGGGGUAGAUGUCAUCAACAUUGAAGAUGGACCUAUCAAGAGAUUUUUCCUCGAUCAAAGAUCAGUAUGGAUCUUCAAUCCACCACAUGCUUCGCACAUGGGCGGAGCAUGGGAACGCAUGAUAGGCCUGACACGACGCAUUCUGGAUACCAUGUUGAUGGACAAAGCAGUCAAGGCAUUAACCCAUGAAAUACUCACCACCUUUCUUGCAGAGGCUAGCGCAAUCAUCAACUCGCGACCACUGGUACCUACCACAUCAGAUCCUGAAUACCCUCUGAUCCUUACACCCUAUACACUUCUUACCCUGAAAACAGACAAGGGAGGAGAACCUCUUGGACCUUUCAGUGAAAAAGAUGCAUACGCGGCCCAGUGGAAAAGAGCUCAACAUUUAGCUGAUAUAUUUUGGCAACGUUGAAGAAAAGAAUAUCUCGCAACCCUACAAAAUCGGAAACGAUGGCCAACAAACCAGAGAAACAUAACUGUUGGUGAUGUUGUUCUUCUGAAAGAUGACGGUGCUCAUCGUUGCGACUGGAAAAUGGCUGUAGUUGAACGUACAUUUCCUAGCCAUUCAGACAAGAAAGUACGUACCGUGGAGUUACGUGUGAUUCGAGAUGGACAAGUUGUGUAUUAUACUCGUCCUGUUACAGAACUGGUUCUUUUGUUACCCGUGUGAACAUCAUGACAUUUUGAUUUGCAUAUGUAUUUCCUUUGAAUUAUUGAAAUUCUUUACAAGAGACAUAUAGUGAUAUCUCCCGAUAUCAGACGGGGAGUGUGAAGAGUUAUCGUUAUUUGUUAAAAUAUUUCCUUUUUUUUUUAUAUUGAAUUAUCUUUCUUUACGACUUAGACUUCAAACCCGUUUAGAGUUACCAUUCUUAAUUCGAGCACGUACUUCCAGCUUCUGCGAUGUGUUUCAGAUGAGCUAUUCCUCCAACCUGUGAGUGUGUUUCACGCAUCGGUCGAUUGUUCCAAUCAUUCAUUUUCUACUUAGAGAUAGCACACACUUCUUUUACCACACAUGAAGUACAUAAUAAAGACUACGCACCGUCCUAUUGUGUCUUUGGUUAUACUAUCUGCAAAAGUAAUGGCAGAAUAAUGAGUGUUCUCAAAGUCCAUUUUUCAUUGUGAAACAAUAGGGGUCAUCCUUCAGUCAGUGUGUGAAGAGCGUGUUGACUCAGUCCAGUCAGCUAGAGGUUCAGCAGUGCUAUCAUUUACAUGUAUACUUUUGUUUUCAUUUCACUUCUUAUUCGU